AUGUCCCGGGACCAAUUCACAGCUCUUGCUCUAGCACCGAGAGGCUCUAGAAGCCCCAGCCCUGCAACCUUCUCGGAGCCAUCCUCUCCGACCGGGACAAGGAGACAAGGACUGAAUCACCUCUUCUCCCACUUUCCUUCGCGGGGCCGCUGGCACUCUCGCUCCCUCCGGCCCCGCCUGCCCUCUGUCCGAGGGUCUCCCUCCGGCUGGCUCUGCGUGGAGGCCUCAGGAGGAGCGAGCAGGACUGCCUGCUUGGCCCGGGCGAACCGCACCUCUUUGGCUUGGAACCGACUCUGAAGUGUGUGAGGACCCAGUGGGAGAGAGGACCUCGCUUGGAAAUACUUCGGGGGGUUCUUCACCUGGUCAGUUUCUGUCUGAGAGACCCUCUGGUUUCCUGAAGUCAGGAACAAUCUUCCUUUUUUUUUAGGGUUGCAUCUGCAACAUAUGGAGGUUCCCAGACAAUAGGGGUCGAAUCUCAGCCGCGGCUGCCGGCCUACACUGCAGCCACGGCAUCACCGGAUCCAACCUACACCACAGCCCAUGGCAAUGCUCGAUCCUUAACCCCCUGAGCGAGGCCAGGGAUCGAACCUGCAUCCUCAAAGAUACUAGUCAGGUCCAUAACCCACUGAGCCACAACAGGAGCUCCCAGGAAUGCUUUUCUUCAUCUUUUAUUUUAACCCUACUGCCUAGCAUACUCCAUACAACGCAGUGGUCUUGGAAGUGCGAGGAUGUAGAGGGGAAAAUACUUGGAGAGGUUUUUUUUUAAGUGGCUUUACACAGGUUAUUUAAAGGUAUUAAAAAUACAUUCACUUUAAUGCCUCCUCUAAGCCAGCCUUCUCUCCACUCAAUCUGUGUGGUUUGAGUGGAACUGACUCCUGUCCAGUGGCUCCAGGUGAGUACCUAGGAAGCAAUUUGGGCCACUCACAGUCACCAUAAAGAAUUUUCUGGAACUACAGGAAGAGAGGCUCUUUCUCUGAAUGGGACCUCAAAUGGACUCUUAACUGCAUUUCUGGGAAAAACCUUAGCUCAAUCCUCCUGAAGCCAACAUGUCUUUUCCAUUCAGAAACUUUAUCAUUUGUUAUUGAAAAAGAAAAGUAAGGUUCCCAUUAUUUUUGUAGCCACAGAGAAAAAUUAUAGUCAUAAAAUCUGAGCCUGGAUACGGCCAGUUACCAGCUGCCGAGGUUAUUAAAGUCAUUUUUCUAUAUUGUAUGAAAACACGAAAGCGAAGGUGCUUUGGGGAGAAAAACCACGGUGCGUCCGCAGCGAUCUGGAAGCGGUACCCUAGCCACGCCGCGGG
ensembl:lncRNA